UGAUAUGAGAAUCCUUAGCAGAUAAUGCUUACAAUUGGGAAUGAAUUCUGAAGAGGUAAAAAGUGAUUAAUUUGGCCAGACGAUUGGUUGGAGGGCUUUGACUUGGAGUGUCUAUUAUGAAAUUGAAGAAUAGAAUAGUCAAAUAAAUUGAUCCAACUUCAAAGGAAAGGGAGUGGAAGAAGCAUUAUAAAAACAAUGGGGAGUGACAAAAGAAAUGAAGUACUUCAUAAGCGUUAUAAUAAAUUGACAUUGUCAUUUAUGCUUUGGAUUUGUAUUUUGGCGUACAGCACUUUGUUGAGUCAGGUCCUUGGGUUUGGAAUUUUGUUGAUCAAGAGCAUGUGGUUACUUUAAUGCCAUGUUUGGAAAGGUGGAAA
rnacentral:misc_RNA from 1 species